CUCAGCACAGCGCUUCCAAAGUUAUUUACCUGGUAGCGAGUGUCAGACUUCCUUCAUUUUUCUGGCUGAAUCCUAUUCCCAUGGGUGGAUGGACCGCAUUUUGUCCUCCAUUCAUCUGCUGGGGGCAACUGUGCUGUUUCCACCUUUCAGCCAUUGACUUGAUGUGGCGUAUGGAGCACUGACCGUCCAUGUGGCAGGACUCAGAGGACGCGGGCAACACAGUGCCCAGGACAGAGAGGCCACAGAGGAGCAAACGGGCAGGCCGAGGACAGUCAAGACCAAGGGGUGCCAGGCAGGGUGUGGGCUUCUUGGGCCCACAAUGACGGGCCCUCCAUCGGGAUCCUGUGGGGCAGGCCAGGGGCAGGGGCAGGUGGCCUCAUAAGCCCUUGAGGAAGGUGCAGGGGGAGUUGCUCCCACUCCAUGGCUGGGGGACAAGGGGAAUUGCAUUUCCAAGGGGGCUGAGCCAAGCAUCCUCAAAGGCGGCAGUUUUGGAGCGAGUUGGCACCAUAAGCACAGAAGACAGCAAACGUUAGACCCUCUCCCAACUGUGGCGGCCUGGAGGGAGCUCAUGCCACCUCUUCUCGAAGGGAGCGCCCUAUGACCUCCUCAGAGUCCAGGACAUGAGAGCCGAGCCCAUGCACCAGUGACUCACGCCCCGGCACAGAUGAGCCCAGAGCCCGGAACAGAGGCCGUAGCAAGACCCCGGGAGCCCAGCCUCCCCUACCCCUCCAGCCCCGCUCUGGGCCCCAGGAGGCUGACCUCCAUGGAUGUCCCAGCAAUCUGUCUCUGGCCUCUGGGUGGGUGUGGCCAAUGGAGUCAUCCGGGACACGGAGGUGGGAAGGGACUGGGCCCUCCUUAUCAGGUCUGAGGGUCAGGGGCCCUACAUCUGCUUGUCCCUGUUCUCAGCGCCAGGCUCACCUCAUCCCCUGCCCCUUGUCAGAGCUCCUUCUUUGACCCUCCCCAGGGGUCCAGCUCACUUGUUUGUUAGUGACCUCAUCACAGACAAGUUCUCAGCCCUCCCAUGGGGCGGUCGGUCCUUCAGGCACUGGAAAUACAGCGGUGGACACAGUGGUGGACCUCCCGGUAUGUCCUCUGUUCGACUGAACAGUCGGGUUGCGGGGCCUCCAGGAGCUCUGUGAGCCCGUGCUCAGGUGCACACAACAGAAGUACUCCGCUGACGCCCACCCCUUUCACUCAGCUCUCGGUUCAGUCAUCGCCAAGCAACUGAGAGCCUUUGUGAAGAGGCUUCCUGCCCUCUUCAUCUUCCACAGACACGCUCUUCUUCCUUAAGCCCAGGCAUACACAGACACAGUGAAUGCACACACAAAGACACACACCAGUGUGCACACUGCUCUGGAAUCCACAGGUUCUAUAAAUAUCUAGAAAUGAUAUCUGAAAGUGCAUUGUUAUAUGCGCUGGUCUGUGAUGGUUACGGUGAUGGUGAUUCCUCCUUCCGGAGGAUGGCGCGGCUGCAGCCAGAGGGAGAUUAGGUGGCGGAGGCUUCGAUGACCAUUUACAUUUUACGAGUACUUAUUUUGAGUGUGUAUUUGGAAAAAUUAAAUUUGUAUAUCAAGCCCA
rnacentral:lncRNA from 1 species